AGUUCAGAUCGCAGUCUGCAACCCGACUGCGUGAAGUCGGAAUCGCUAGUAAUCGCGGAUCAGCAUGCCGCGGUGGAUACGUUCCCGGGCCUUGUACACACCGCCCGUCACACCAUGAGAGUCGGGAACACCCGAAGUCCGUAGCCUAACCGCAAGGGGGGCGCGGUCGAAGGUGGGUUCGAUAAUUGGGGUGAAGUCGUAACAAGGUAAC
rnacentral:rRNA from 1 species